ACGGCGUCGAGCGGCGGACGGGUGAGUAAUGCCUAGGAAAUUGCCCUGAUGUGGGGGAUAACCAUUGGAAACGAUGGCUAAUACCGCAUGAUGCCUACGGGCCAAAGAGGGGGACCUUCGGGCCUCUCGCGUCAGGAUAUGCCUAGGUGGGAUUAGCUAGUUGGUGAGGUAAGGGCUCACCAAGGCGACGAUCCCUAGCUGGUCUGAGAGGAUGAUCAGCCACACUGGAACUGAGACACGGUCCAGACUCCUACGGGAGGCAGCAGUGGGGAAUAUUGCACAAUGGGCGCAAGCCUGAUGCAGCCAUGCCGCGUGUGUGAAGAAGGCCUUCGGGUUGUAAAGCACUUUCAGUCGUGAGGAAGGUAGUGUAGUUAAUAGCUGCAUUAUUUGACGUUAGCGACAGAAGAAGCACCGGCUAACUCCGUGCCAGCAGCCGCGGUAAUACGGAGGGUGCGAGCGUUAAUCGGAAUUACUGGGCGUAAAGCGCAUGCAGGUGGUUUGUUAAGUCAGAUGUGAAAGCCCGGGGCUCAACCUCGGAAUUGCAUUUGAAACUGGCAGACUAGAGUACUGUAGAGGGGGGUAGAAUUUCAGGUGUAGCGGUGAAAUGCGUAGAGAUCUGAAGGAAUACCGGUGGCGAAGGCGGCCCCCUGGACAGAUACUGACACUCAGAUGCGAAAGCGUGGGGAGCAAACAGGAUUAGAUACCCUGGUAGUCCACGCCGUAAACGAUGUCUACUUGGAGGUUGUGGCCUUGAGCCGUGGCUUUCGGAGCUAACGCGUUAAGUAGACCGCCUGGGGAGUACGGUCGCAAGAUUAAAACUCAAAUGAAUUGACGGGGGCCCGCACAAGCGGUGGAGCAUGUGGUUUAAUUCGAUGCAACGCGAAGAACCUUACCUACUCUUGACAUCCAGAGAACUUUCCAGAGAUGGAUUGGUGCCUUCGGGAACUCUGAGACAGGUGCUGCAUGGCUGUCGUCAGCUCGUGUUGUGAAAUGUUGGGUUAAGUCCCGCAACGAGCGCAACCCUUAUCCUUGUUUGCCAGCGAGUAAUGUCGGGAACUCCAGGGAGACUGCCGGUGAUAAACCGGAGGAAGGUGGGGACGACGUCAAGUCAUCAUGGCCCUUACGAGUAGGGCUACACACGUGCUACAAUGGCGCAUACAGAGGGCGGCCAACUUGCGAAAGUGAGCGAAUCCCAAAAAGUGCGUCGUAGUCCGGAUUGGAGUCUGCAACUCGACUCCAUGAAGUCGGAAUCGCUAGUAAUCGUGGAUCAGAAUGCCACGGUGAAUACGUUCCCGGGCCUUGUACACACCGCCCGUCACACCAUGGGAGUGGGCUGCAAAAGAAGUAGGUAGUUUAACC
rnacentral:rRNA from 1 species